rnacentral:lncRNA from 1 species
UACAGGUUCGCACGUGAGCGGCGCGGCGGCGCAAGGCAAGGGCGUAGCUCCGUAGAUAGCGCCCUACCCCGGAGACCAGAGCUAGCAGUACCCCGAGUCAGCAGGGCCUAGGGGUUAGAAUGGAAUGACAACAACCAACUUGUAUUAAAUGUAAUAAUGUGAUUGUAUUCGGAAGUUAAGUAAAUGUAAGAGAAAAAUGUUGUAUAAAAUGAAUGCUUGUAAUAGCAGUUAGUUUUAUGUUAUUGAUACUUCCUUGUGCAAUUUUGAUUGAUAUCCGCUCCUGGUUGGAGCACUCGUUCAUUGUUUUGAUUGCGACGCCUAGGACGUACAGGGGAAACUCUGUCCGUUCGGCGGUCUGUUGACGGCGCCGCG